UGAAGCAUGCUGAACAGACCAAUCUCCAGUCAGAGGCUGCACCUGACUCCCUGAUGCCACCAAAACACAAAAUAAAACGAAACAAGCGCAUACUGGAUGAAUGAGACACUGAUGAGGAGGCCACCACACCCCUAAAAACAAUUGCCACAAGCUCCUCAAAUACAACCAGGAUCCAAAAGGAUUUGUUCAGCUUUUAACCAAGUCCUCUAGGACAAAGACAAAACCACCCACUGCAGGCACUGUGGCAUCAUGAAACACCCAGACCCCAGAGAAAAAAUCCUCUCAAGCUGUGACCCAUUCAUAAGAUCACUUCUCUAUGACGUAAUAACUAAACAAGACAUUCUUAUGGAGCAGCAAAGGGACAUUGGAAGGAUGGUGCAAGAUCAAGACUUAAGGUCAUUAACUUCCCUGCAAUGUGAUCUUCAAUCCUUUCCGGAAACAAGAUAAAAAGUGGUAGGUAACAGGUGUCAGUUAUGCAU